rnacentral:tRNA from 1 species
GCGCGCGUGGCGGAAUGGCAGACGCUCCGGACUUAGGAUCCGGUCCCGCAAGGGGUGGAGGUUCAAAUCCUCUCGCGCGCACCA